rnacentral:rRNA from 1 species
AGAGUUUGAUCCUGGCUCAGGAUGAACGCUAGCGGCAGGCCUAAUACAUGCAAGUCGAACGAUACUUUCCAGCUUGCUGGAGAGGAAAGUGGCGCACGGGUGCGUAACGCGUAUGCAACCUACCUUCAUCAGGGGGAUAGCCCGGAGAAAUCCGGAUUAAUACCGCAUAAAAUCACAGGAUGGCAUUAUCCAAUGAUCAAACAUUUAUGGGAUGGAGAUGGGCAUGCGUGUCAUUAGCUAGUUGGCGGGGUAACGGCCCACCAAGGCGACGAUGACUAGGGGAUCUGAGAGGAUGGCCCCCCACACUGGUACUGAGACACGGACCAGACUCCUACGGGAGGCAGCAGUAAGGAAUAUUGGUCAAUGGAGGCAACUCUGAACCAGCCAUGCCGCGUGCAGGAAGACUGCCCUAUGGGUUGUAAACUGCUUUUAUCCGGGAAUAAACCUAAAUACGUGUAUUUAGCUGAAUGUACCGGAAGAAUAAGGAUCGGCUAACUCCGUGCCAGCAGCCGCGGUAAUACGGAGGAUCCAAGCGUUAUCCGGAUUUAUUGGGUUUAAAGGGUGCGUAGGCGGCCUGUUAAGUCAGGGGUGAAAGACGGUAGCUCAACUAUCGCAGUGCCCUUGAUACUGAUGGGCUUGAAUGGACUAGAGGUAGGCGGAAUGAGACAAGUAGCGGUGAAAUGCAUAGAUAUGUCUCAGAACACCGAUUGCGAAGGCAGCUUACUAUGGUCUUAUUGACGCUGAGGCACGAAAGCGUGGGGAUCAAACAGGAUUAGAUACCCUGGUAGUCCACGCCCUAAACGAUGAACACUCGCUGUUGGCGAUACACAGUCAGCGGCUAAGCGAAAGCGUUAAGUGUUCCACCUGGGGAGUACGCCCGCAAGGGUGAAACUCAAAGGAAUUGACGGGGGCCCGCACAAGCGGAGGAGCAUGUGGUUUAAUUCGAUGAUACGCGAGGAACCUUACCCGGGCUUGAAAGUUAGUGAAUGAUUUAGAGAUAGAUCAGUCCGCAAGGACACGAAACUAGGUGCUGCAUGGCUGUCGUCAGCUCGUGCCGUGAGGUGUUGGGUUAAGUCCCGCAACGAGCGCAACCCCUAUGUUUAGUUGCCAGCAUGUAAUGGUGGGGACUCUAAACAGACUGCCUGUGCAAACAGAGAGGAAGGAGGGGACGACGUCAAGUCAUCAUGGCCCUUACGUCCGGGGCUACACACGUGCUACAAUGGACGGUACAGAGGGCAGCUACAUAGCAAUAUGAUGCGAAUCUCACAAAGCCGUUCACAGUUCGGAUUGGGGUCUGCAACUCGACCCCAUGAAGUUGGAUUCGCUAGUAAUCGCGUAUCAGCAAUGACGCGGUGAAUACGUUCCCGGGCCUUGUACACACCGCCCGUCAAGCCAUGGAAGCUGGGGGUACCUAAAGUAUGUAACCGCAAGGAGCGUCCUAGGGUAAAACCGGUAACUGGGGCUAAGUCGUAACAAGGUAACCGUA